GACAUACUCCCUCCGUUCGGAAUUACUUGUCAUAAAAAUGGAUGUAUCUAUAACUAAAAUACAUUUAGAUACAUUCCUUUCUUCGACAAGUAAUUCCGAACGGAUGGAGUAUAUA
rfam:Triticum aestivum genome assembly, contig: Triticum_aestivum_CS42_TGACv1_scaffold_288159_4AL